rnacentral:rRNA from 1 species
UACGUAGGGGGCGAGCGUUGUCCGGAUUUAUUGGGCGUAAAGCGUGCGCAGGCGGUCUGCUAAGAGAGGUGUGAAAUCCCCGGGCUUAACCUGGGAACUGCGCUUCUAACUGGCAGGCUUGAGUGUGGCAGAGGGGGGUGGAAUUCCACGUGUAGCAGUGAAAUGCGUAGAGAUGUGGAGGAACACCGAUGGCGAAGGCAGCCCCCUGGGCUAACACUGACGCUCAUGCACGAAAGCGUGGGGAGCAAACAGG